GAUGAACGCUGGCGGCGUGCUUAACACAUGCAAGUCGAACGGGAAACCUUUUAUUGAAGCUUCGGCAGAUUUAGCUGGUUUCUAGUGGCGGACGGGUGAGUAACGCGUGGGUACCCUGCCUUAUACAGGGGGAUAACAGUCAGAAAUGGCUGCUAAUACCGCAUCAGCGCACAGAGCUGCAUGGCUCAGUGUGCAAAACUCCGGUGGUAUAAGAUGGACCCGCGUUGGAUUAGCUGGUUGGUGGGGUAACGGCCCACCAAGGCGACGAUCCAUAGCCGGCCUGAGAGGGUGAACGGCCACAUUGGGACUGAGACACGGCCCAGACUCCUACGGGAGGCAGCAGUGGGGAAUAUUGCACAAUGGGGGAAACCCUGAUGCAGCGACGCCGCGUGAAGGAAGAAGUAUCUCGGUAUGUAAACUUCUAUCAGCAGGGAAGAUAAUGACGGUACCUGACUAAGAAGCCCCGGCUAACUACGUG
rnacentral:rRNA from 1 species